rnacentral:rRNA from 1 species
GACGAACCGUGCGAACGUUGUUCGGAAUCACUGGGCUUAAAGGGCGCGUAGGCGGCUUGGCAAGUCCGGGGUGAAAGCCCCCAGCUCAACUGGGGAAGUGCCUUGGAUACUGGGAAUCUCGAGGGAGGUAGGGGCAGUGGGAACUUCCGGUGGAGCGGUGAAAUGCGUUGAUAUCGGAAGGAACGCCGGUGGCGAAAGCGCACUGCUGGACCUCUACUGACGCUGAGGCGCGAAAGCCAGGGGAGCAAACGGG